rnacentral:rRNA from 1 species
ACACAUGCAAGUCGAGGGGCAGCGGGGAGGUAGCAAUACCUUUGCCGGCGACCGGCGCACGGGUGAGUAACACGUAUGCAAUCCACCUGUAACAGGGGGAUAACCCGGAGAAAUCCGGACUAAUACCCCAUAAUAUGGGCGCUCCGCAUGGAGAACCCAUUAAAGAGAGCAAUUUUGGUUACAGACGAGCAUGCGCUCCAUUAGCCAGUUGGCGGGGUAACGGCCCACCAAGGCGACGAUGGAUAGGGGUUCUGAGAGGAAGGUCCCCCACAUUGGAACUGAGACACGGUCCAAACUCCUACGGGAGGCAGCAGUGAGGAAUAUUGGUCAAUGGUCGGCAGACUGAACCAGCCAAGUCGCGUGAGGGAAGACGGCCCUACGGGUUGUAAACCUCUUUUGUCGGAGAGUAAAGUACGCUACGUGUAGCGUAUUGCAAGUAUCCGAAGAAAAAGCAUCGGCUAACUCCGUGCCAGCAGCCGCGGUAAUACGGAGGAUGCGAGCGUUAUCCGGAUUUAUUGGGUUUAAAGGGUGCGUAGGCGGCAUGCCAAGUCAGCGGUGAAAUUUCCGGGCUCAACCCGGAGUGUGCCGUUGAAACUGGCGAGCUAGAGUGCACAAGAGGCAGGCGGAAUGCGUGGUGUAGCGGUGAAAUGCAUAGAUAUCACGCAGAACCCCGAUUGCGAAGGCAGCCUGCUAGGGUGAAACAGACGCUGAGGCACGAAAGCGUGGGUAUCGAACAGGAUUAGAUACCCUGGUAGUCCACGCAGUAAACGAUGAAUACUAACUGUUUGCGAUACAAUGUAAGCGGUACAGCGAAAGCGUUAAGUAUUCCACCUGGGGAGUACGCCGGCA